CACGGUAGUUAAGCUUCUCUGCGCCAAUGGUAGUUGGGGGCUUCCCCCUGCGAGAGUAGGUCGCUGCCGGGC
rnacentral:rRNA from 1 species